GGACCCGCACAAGUAGUGGAGCAUGUGGUUUAAUUCGAAGAUACGCGCAGAACCUUACCAACACUUGACAUGUUCGUCGCGACUUUAAGAGAUUAAAGUUUUCGGUUCGGCCGGACGAAACACAGGUGCUGCAUGGCUGUCGUCAGCUCGUGUCGUGAGAUGUUGGUUAAGUCCCGCAACGAUGCGCAACCCUCACUUUUUAGUUGCCAUCAUUAAGUUGGGCACUCUGAAAGAACUGCCAGUGAUAAGCUGGAGGAAGGUGGGGACGACGUCAAAUCAUCACGGCCCCUUACGUCCUGGGCCACACACGUGCUACAAUGGUAGGUACAGAGGGAAGCCACCCCCAGCGAGGGGGGAGCGGA
rnacentral:rRNA from 1 species